UAAAAAAAUUUUUGUGCAUCCAUUAAUAUAAUCAUCUUUUUCUUUUUUCAUUUCUAGAAGAACCUCAAGAAAAAACCAUGCUGUUUCUUUCAAUGAUGAUCUAGUCUGGUGGAAACGGCUGCCUUUCAGCACAUUGUGGAGC
rnacentral:lncRNA from 1 species